AGCAGUCGCCGCGGUAAUACGUAGGUCCCGAGCGUUGUCCGGAUUUAUUGGGCGUAAAGCGAGCGCAGGCGGUUAGAUAAGUCUGAAGUUAAAGGCUGUGGCUUAACCAUAGUACGCUUUGGAAACUGUUUAACUUGAGUGCAAGAGGGGAGAGUGGAGUUCCAUGUGUAGCGGUGAAGUGCGUAGAUAUAUGGAGGAACACCGGUGGCGAAAGCGGCUCUCUGGCUUGUAACUGACGCUGAGGCUCGAAAGCGUGGGGAGCAAACAGGAUUAGAUACCCGAGUAGUCCCUGUCUCUUAUACC
rnacentral:rRNA from 1 species